rnacentral:rRNA from 1 species
UCUCCUACGGGGGGCAGCAGUGGGGAAUAUUGCACAAUGGGGGGAACCCUGAUGCAGCAAUGCCGCGUGGGUGAAGAAGCACUCCGGUGCGUAAAGCCCUGUCAGCAGGGAAGAAAAUGACAGUACCUGACCAAGAAGCCCCGGCUAACUACGUGCCAGCAGCCGCGGUAAUACGUAGGGGGCAAGCGUUAUCCGGAUUUACUGGGUGUAAAGGGAGCGUAGACGGCAGCGCAAGUCUGGAGUGAAAUGCCGGGGCUCAACCCCGGAACUGCUUUGGAAACUGUGCGGCUCGAGUGCGGGAGAGG